AGCUGUCUUCAGACACACCAGAAGAGGGCAUCAGAUCUCAUUACGGAUGGUUGUGAGCCACCAUGUGGUUGCUGGGAUUUGAACUCAGGACCUUUGGAAGAGCAGUCAGUGCUCUUAACCACUGAGCCAUCUCACCAGCCCCCAAGAUAUUAACUCUUAAAAUUCAAAUAGCAGGGGCUGGAGAGAUGGCUCAGUGCUUAAGAGUGUUUGCUGCUCUUCCAGAGGACCUGAGUUCAUUUCCCAGUGUGUUCCCAUGAUGGGUGGCUUACAACUAUCUGUAACUCCAACUCUGGGGGAUCCAACGCCCUCUUCUGGCCUCUGUGAACACUUGUACCCACAUGGUACACAUACAUACAUACAGGGCAUCCAAACAUAAAUAGGAACUUCAGGGUGACGCUGAAAACAGUAUUCCAGGGUAGUUGCUUCCCGACUGCCCUCUACAGACUGAGGAACUGUCUUUUAAAAAACACAAAACCAACCGAUACUGGCUUGUGUUUGAAUACACUGAGCUGUUUGCAUAGCCAACAGUGAGUAAUUCAGAUAAAUGGCUGCAUCGAAAAGCAAGCAGUCACAAGAUGAAAAACUCCGAUGAAAACAGAAACUACCACACAAAGUGCAGUGAUCAGAACACACUCUAGAUCAGCUGGGACCACUGGUUGCCUGAUACAAACACUGAAUAUUUGUCUAAAAACACCCUGUCAGUCUGAUAAAUGAGGGUAAAAGACUGCCUUUUCAUAACAUUCAGAGUAAAUCUUAAAAUCUGGUGUCCUUCAAGCACAGGUGAGGAUUGAAACUAAAUUCAAGUGUUGUACAGGAUAGAGUCUCUUUGUUUUUCUAAAUCAAAACUAAGAAAGGGCCAUUCCUAUAAUGUCACACCUGGAACCGUCUCUGACACUAUUAAUAGAACUGUAAGUUCCUCCAUUGUAUGAAACCAGUUUAAAUUUGGGCUUCUCUCUCUGGAGACCAAAAGAAUCCUGCCAAACAUAUCCAAGGCUCAGAGAACUUAACCGAUGAGGGCGAAGAAAGAGCAGAAGAGAGGAAAGAAGGCACACACCAUGGCAGAUGCAGACUUCUAGGUGUGCUAUGGUCCUUACACCCUUCAGUACACAGCAGCUGUGGUUUCCUGCACAGGAUUCGUCCCUUCACCAUCUCAACAUGGAUGUGGGAGGAGCUCUCGAGGCCACAUCUCUCCCUGAGGAUCUUCGAGCAGUUAAGUUGCUGGGGAUGGGAAGAGGUGUUUUAUCCCGUGUUGUAGUCAAUGGUGAUGGGUACACACUCCUGUGAACAACUUCUCAGCCAUCUGCUGUAAGCAACACUAAUGAUGGUCACUGGAUGCUUCCCAUCAAUAAUAUGAGAGACAGGAAGGGUGGGGAGAACAAGAGAGGGAAAUACAGUCAAGCCACAGAUACAUGUAUGAAACUGUCUCGGCGAAGUCCACUAUUAUGUACAGUGAUAUACAUUAAUUAAAAUAUUUUAAUUUUUUUUAAAGAGACUUUCACUGUGUACCCCUGGCUAGCCUUAAACUCACAAUAUAGACCAUAGGUCUGCCUCCCAAGUGUGGGAUUAAAGGUGCAUUCUACUGUGCCCAGCUAACAAAAAUAAUAAGAAUUUGGUUUGUUUCAUCUUUCAGGACAGGGUUUCUCUGUCAGCCUUGGCUUCCCUGGAACUCAUUGUGUAAAUCCAGCUGGUCUGGGACUCAGAGAUCUUCCUGACUCUGCCUCCUAAACAUCUGGAUUAAAGGACACGGGAGCUAGCUGCGGAACAUCACUGUAACCACACUGAUGGCUACCAGCUCCAGCAUCAUUGCUAUGGCAAACCUAUGAUGUUCUAUCUUAUAGGUCGGACCAUUUGAAGGAUCACAAGAAAGUUCAACAUUCAUCAGUGAAAGCAUGGGACAUGUGUGUCUUAGUUGUGAAGAGACACUGUGACCUAAGCAAUUCUUUAAAAACAAAAAACCAUUUCAUUGGGGCUGGCUUACAGUUUCAGAGAGUUAGUCCAUUAUCAUCAUGGAGGGAUACAUGCAACGUGAAGGUAGAUAUGGUGCUGGAGGAGCCAAGAAAUCCGCCUACCUCUGCCUCCUAAGUGCUGGGAUUAAAGGCUUGCACCACCACUGUCCAGCCUACAUCUUUAUCUACAUCUUGAUCCUAAGGCAUCAAGGAAGAGACUUGUGUUCCACACUGGGUGGAGCUCAAACAUAGGAGACCUCAAAGCCCACCCCCAUAGUGACAUACUUCCUCCAACAAGGCCACACCUCCUCAUAGUGCCACUCCCCGUGGGCCAAAGUUUCAAACCCCUGAUUCUAUGGGGAGCCAUUUCUAUCAAACCACCACAUGCUUGGUUGUUGAUCUUUUUAGUGAAAUGUUUAUACUGGAUGUUAAUGGAAGAGUGUUUCAGAAGUAGUUUGUCAUCUUCCACAGCCUUCCCGUGCUAGCCCACCUCUCACCUGAUGGUGCUCACUAAAGAUAAAACAAUGUAGUCAAUAAAAGGGCCUAACCAAGUGCCCAGAGUCACUUCAAGUAUCAACUCUGACAUGAAAAGAUGUGUCUGUGUGUCUGUUAAGGGACAGGCAACUCCAUUUUUCUUUUUAGUUAAACAAUGUUAGACUUUGAUCAUGUCUUUAGCUAGGGGUCACCUCCAUCCCCAGACCAAUAAUACUGUGAAUCACACACUUUAAAGUGUUUCCAUUGUUCUGAGAAUUGACUAACCAUAAAAUAUUUCAUGAUAUGUUAAUGGUCUGAUCAUAAACCCAUAACGCGUUCUUUUUCCAUGAUCAUAGAAAAUAACUGCAAAAUUCUGGGUUUUUGGUUUUUGUCUUGUUUUUUUCUUUCUUCUUUCUUGAUCACUUCCUCGUUUUCCAUAGAGAGACCUUUGUUUCUGAUCCGGGCCACUUCAUAUCCUUGCCAGUGGAGGGUGUAAGUCUGUCCAAGCCAUGAAAAUAAAAUUUUA
rnacentral:lncRNA from 1 species